AUUUGGAUGGGGACCAAGGACUUGCAUUGGCCAAAAUUUUGUAAUGAUAGAAGCAAAGGUUGCUCUCUCCAUGAUACUAAAGCAAUUCUCCUUCAAGCUCUCACCAACCUAUGCUCAUGCUCCUUAUACGGUUAUGACUCUUCAACCACAACAUGGAGCGCAGAUCAUGUUUCACUUGCUUAAUUAGGAUACAUCCAUUAUGCUCAUGCUCCUUAUACUGUUAUGACUCUUCAACCACAACAUGGAGCGCAGAUCAUGUUUCACUUGCUUAAUUAGGAUACAUCCAGUUAUUAUGUAUUGAAGUUUCUCAUAAAAUAAGAAAAAAUCAUGUCUGAUAUUUUCUCUUCCGUGUAGAUGAGCUUAUGAAUUGAGUGUGUCAAAAUAAAGGUAGUCCUUGAUAUCAAAUGAAAAGAGUGGUUAAGCAAUGACAGCAUACAAGAUAAUUUGUCCCCUUCGUCGUUACUUAUUUGUUUAUCUCAAAGACCAGAAGCUGGAAAUAUCGGUUUUA
rnacentral:lncRNA from 1 species